rnacentral:rRNA from 1 species
GUGGAUUAGAUACCCGGGUAGUCCACGCCCUAAACGAUGCUGACUAGUUGUUCGGGAUUUACAUCCUGAGUAACGUAGCUAACGCGUGAAGUCAGCCGCCUGGGGAGUACGGUCGCAAGAUUAAAACUCAAAGGAAUUGACGGGGACCCGCACAAGCGGUGGAUGAUGUGGAUUAAUUCGAUGCAACGCGAAAAACCUUACCUACCCUUGACAUGUCACUAACGAAGUAGAGAUACAUUAGGUGCUCGUAAGAGAAAGUGAACACAGGUGCUGCACGGCCGUCGACAACU